AUCUUAUCCAUAAGGCGAAAGAUGGGGGAUUGGAUGUGAUUCAGACAUAUGUGUUCUGGAAUGGCCAUGAACCUUCUCCUGGUCAGGUAUUGAUUUAGAAAAUAAAAAUAAAAACAAAACAAGAAGUUUCCUGUUUCAAUGAGUUCUAACGACAUGCAUUAAAAAACCACAAAGCAAGGCCAAGGCGGAAGAGAGUUCUGAAGAUAGUUCGGAUGACAGUUCUAAUUAGAGUGAUGAGGAACCUCAGAGAAAGAAAUUGAAAGUACAUACUGUCAAAGAAUGGAAAAAUGUAUGAAGCGGAUACCAUGAAGCAUCUAAAUGAAUUUGGAGAAGCAGGCAUGCGCACCUUAGCUUUGGCAUACAAAGUUUUAGAUGAAUCAGAGUACUCAACAUGG